AAUAACACUGAUUUCCCUAGUAACGGCGAGUGAAGAGGAAAGAGCUCAAAGUUGGAACCUGUUUGGCCUAGCUAAACUGGAUUGUAAACUGUAGAAGUGUUUUCCAGGCAAUCCGAAUUGAAAAGUCCUUUGGAACAGGGCAUCAUAGAGGGUGAGAAUCCCGUCUUUGAUUCGAGAUAUUUUGUCUUUUGCGAUACACUUUCAAAGAGUCAGGUUGUUUGGGAAUGCAGCCUAAAUUGGGUGGUAAAUCUCACCUAAAGCUAAAUAUUGGCGAGAAACCGAUAGCGAACAAGUACCGUGAGGGAAAGAUGAAAAGAACUUUGAAAAGAGAGUUAAACAGUAUGUGAAAUUGUUAAAAGGGAACCGUUUGGAGCCAGAUUGGCUUGUCUGUAAUCAUUCUAGGCUUCGUGCCUGGAUGCACUUGCAGGCUUGAUGCCUGCCAACGACAAUUUUGUUUGGGUGUAAAAACUAUUGGAAAUGUGGCCAAUAUUUAUUUAUUGGUGUUAUAGUCCUUUAGAAAAUAGCCUGGAUGGGAUUGAGGAACGCAGUGAAUGCUUCUUUAGGGAGGCAAAGUCAUUUAUAGGGAUUUUCGGAUCAGACUGUAGCAUUGUUGCAAGACUUGAUGUUUAAACCUAUUUAUGCUCUUUUAUUCACUUAGGUUGUUGGCUUAAUGACUCUAAAUGACCCGUCUUGAAACACGGACCAAGGAGUCCACCAUUACUGCGAGUAUUUGGGUGCCAAACCCAUAUGCGUAAGGAAACUGAUAGAUAUGAAUCCAUUUAGGAGGCAAUAUCAUCCGGCGUUGACGUUUUAUACUGAAGUGACCGAGACAAAGCAUUAAUGAUGGGACCCGAAAGAUGGUGAACUAUGCCUGAAUAGGGUGAAGCCAGAGGAAACUCUGGUGGAGGCUCGUAGCGAUUCUGACGUGCAAAUCGAUCGUCAAAUUUGGGUAUAGGGGCGAAAGA
rnacentral:rRNA from 1 species